rnacentral:lncRNA from 1 species
UGGCAAAUUCUCAGACUGGGACUUCAGGAUGUGGAAAUCGGGAGCCACUGCUGAGGUGGCCAACUGAAGGUGAAGAAGCCCAAGCGUCUGAAGUGCGGGCAGGGCCUGAGGCGUCUCGAGCUUAUCCAGCAAGCAAAGCCCGGGCAGCCUAAGCGCGCGCCACCCACACCCAGGUCGACCCACUCUUCCCGCCCACUGGCCCGCCGCAGCUCCCUCCAUUGGCUCGCGGCACCUGUCCGUUUCCUGGGAGAGUUCAGCACCUCCCGGCAGGAAGAGGCUCCGGCCUCAUUGGGUGCGUGAGAAGGGAAGGGUGGAUCCUAAAAGAUCCCUUUUACAGUUGGAUUCUCCCUCUUGGAUCUGGCUCUGCCUUAGUCCGACCUAGAGGGAUCAGCUUCGCCCACGCCCACUCUCACCCGGAACCUUUCAUCUCUUAUUGAAGCCUUUUAGGCCCAUUGGGAUGUUCAUUAGAACUCUGAAAACUACAGUUCUCCCCUUUAUGAGGACUGCACCACAGCUCGCCCUCUCCUGGGUUCCGCCUGGUUGCAGAGUGAGCCCAUGGGACAGCCCUCUGAAAUUAUACUGCUUACAACCAUGCUGAGUCUGCAAGGACUUCGUCCAAGCCUUUCCGUCCAGGACCUCAAACAGAUCCAAUCACAAGAAGAGAGAUUUCAGGAAAGAGAAAAUUAUUCCUAUCAUCGGGGUUUUUGAAGAACAUGAAAUGACUGGGAAAAUAAUCAUGUUAAGUGGAAAAAAAAAAGAAAUCUAUCUGUUGUAAUUUUCAAAUAAUUUUUAAAUAAAUUUGAAAAAUUAAGAGAACUAUAUAUAUAAUACAUUCCUAAUCUUGUGAAAAAUAUAUAUGCAUUAAUAUUAUUGAAAGAAAUAUAUCAAAAGGUGAACAGCAAUUAUCACCAAUCUAGAUUAUGAGAUUAGGAGUGAUUUUUUUUCUUUGUCCUAUACUAUUUAAUAUUUUCUACCAUUAAAAUAUUCUGAUUUUCUAAUUAGAAUAGUACGUUAGACAAAGAAGGACAAAUAUCACAUGAACUCUCACUCUCUUAUGGAACAGAUCUUGUGGAAUCUAAAAAAGUUGAACUCAUAGAAAAAGAGGAAAAUGAUGGUUACCAGUUAGAAAAAAGGAAUAAGUUCAAGAGAUCUAUUGUACACCAUGGUCAAUAUAGUUAACAAUAUAUUUUAUACUUUAAAAUUGCUAAGGUAGUAGAUUUUAAGUGUUCUCACCACACAAAAAAAUAAGUAUGUGAAAAGCAUAUGGUAAUUAGCUUGAUUUAACCACGCCACAGUGCAUACAUAUGUCAAAACAUCAUGUUGUAUACUAUAAAUAUAUACACUUUUUGUCAAUUUUAAACAGGUUAUAAAAAAACAUGUUAUUGUUGAUAAUUAUGAAAAAUUUUAAUGAUGUGGAAAUGUGUACAGUAUAAUGAUAAAUGAAAGAGUAGUAAAAAUCCUUAUAAAAUAUAAUUACAAAUGUGUUGGGUGGAUAAUAUAAAAAUCUUAACAGCUAUUUCUGAGCUAAGUGGUGGAGCAUGGGUAAUUUUUAGUGCCUUCUGUGUCAGGCUGUUCUUGCAUUGCUAUGAAGAAAUACCUGGCCAGGCGCGGUGGCUCACGCCUA